rnacentral:lncRNA from 1 species
UGUGAAACCAACUUCAAACCAUUUCAAUUCAUUUCACAUCAUUCUAAACCAUUACAUUUGAUUCUACACAAGAAAAUACAAGUCUUGACAAUUUUUGACCAAUUGUUGACUUUGGUCAACAGUUGACUUUUUGGUCAACAUUGACCAAAGUCACCCAAAAUCCAAAAACUCUAAAUUUUCACCACAAUCAUCAAUCAUUUGUCCAUUUACAAGAAGAAUGCAAAAAAAAUGAAUUUUAACCAUUUGUUGACUUUGGUCAACAGUUGACUUUUUGGUCAACUUUGACCAAAGUCAACCCCAUGCCAUUGGUCAUCCCUAAUCACUAAAUGACUAGUCCUAACUCUCAUGACAUUAUCCAUGUCCCUGUUAUCUUUGGUUUAACCACUUGUGCUUGGCUUCUUCACUUUAAUGUCAACAUGGUCACACCUUGAAGCUUUGGAAUCCUGCUUUGCCAAUUAACUUCCAUCAUGCUGCAUUUGCCCUGCUAUACCAACCUGCUGCAACGCCUAACCUGCACAGACCAAAGUCAUGACCAACAUAAAAUCC